UUAAUGGGGAGUAAGGCCAAAUCUUUGGGGAAGGUCCAGGGUGCUGGGAGUGGGAUGGGGGACAGAUAAACCAAGCUGGGAACAAAUAAAAUAUAGGCAUAUAUCACCAAAAGCUGAGGAAACAUCAUCAUCAUCAGAGCGUACCUUCUGUGGAGAUAUGUUAUUGCAUCUUGAAUAAUUUUUGCCAUUCAAAACAAAAACUUUACCUUUUGGACUAAGUCUCUUUUUUGUUUACCUAAGAUUUCUCUUGGAAUACAUCCUGGAUACAGGAAACCAGAUGGUCAGAGAACUAGAUCUUAAGGAUGGAGAUGAAAAUAUGGUAAUUGACACCCAAUUCCAAACCUUUUAAAAAUGUCUGUAUAACACUGAUCCCCAGCACCUUUAAGAGAAAUAGAGAAAAGCUCAUUUAAGAUAGAACACAUUAUCAAGACAAUGUCCUUUUGAAAAAAUGUACCAUAAGACAUCAUCUACAGUGACUUCUGUACAUCAUUUCAGAUGAAAAGUCAUACACAAAACUAAAGCUGUUGAUUGUACUAUUCAAAGACUGACACUGAAUUCAAAUGCUCAUCCUUGCAGAGUUCUUGAAUCAUCGGAGUCCACACCUUUACAUUACUAGCUUCAGCUGUCUGGAAAACUUUCUCAAGGAGAUGAGCAAAACUGGCCAUUACAUUAUAUUGGAAAGUCAAGACAUGGGGACAUCAACAAGAGCCUUUCUUUUACCGCUGGAACACUUACCUCUCGACUUUGACCUGGGAGGCAGUCAUCAUGCCCUAUUAUACACUGCAUCAUGUUUUAAACUUGCCCUUUAUCAAUGAUGAUGUUACCGCCAUUCACUGUUACAGAUCUCAUGGUUCAAAGUACUGAGCUCUUGCCUUGUUACAUGGAAACAAUGUUUGGAAUACUCUUUUAUCCAAAACAACUUACAGUGCAUUCGAGGUAUCCCAUUAGUAAAAACCAACCGACAAACACGUAAACGUAUUUUGAGUGCCCUUACAUCGAAACCUUUAUUCAUCCCCUCUGAAACUGACAUUUAUUUAGUCUGAGUGUAAAAACUGAAAAAGUAGAAAACUGAAACUGUGUAAACUGUGUGACUGUCUAUAGUUAUAGCAUGUCAGAGAUCCAGACUGUGUGUGUAACCACUGAAAAAAGCAGCAGAAAUGCAACAUCACUAAUGUUUCGAUCUUAGCGCAGAACAAACUCAGCUUUGAGAUAAGUGAGUAGGUUAUGGGGAGUGAAAAAUAACCAUGUUUCUGUUGGUCAGAACCCUUCUCCACAAUGUCAACAGCUCUCAGUUUCAACAAAGAUGCUUUAGAGAACUAUAUUGGUUAGAUUUGCUCCUGAUUUCCAGUUUAGAUCAUCUAACAUGAAGACUACACUGCCCAAUGUAAUUUAGGGGCCAAAUUCAAACAUGUCCCUGACCAUUUCAACCUGGUUUAAAGGUCGUUGAAGACUGAACACCAACUUUCAUUAAUGGGCAUCUCACUGUGGACUGAGAGACUUGACAAUGGGAGUGAGGGUUUGAUGAUUGAGAGUGAAGGAAAUGAACGUAAUGGUCUCCUGAUCUCAAUGUACCAGAGAAAUACAGACACAUGAGAGAAGCACGUGAGGUUUUAGCUAUGCAUCUCUCAGAGCACCAAGUAAUUUGAGCUAAUCACGAUCCAACUAAGCAGUGUUCGAGAUUUCUUUGCUAGCAGCCAUUAAUGAAGAUUGAAAAAUCUUUUUUUUUUCGUCAAGUCCUUCGUCCUGUGUAACUUGUCAUUUAAUGUUUCAAACAGAUCUGGCAUGGCCAUACAAGAGAUGUGGGAAGAGGAGAAAGGCCUCUGUCCUUUUCAACAAAAGCGUCUUUGUGUUUAUAAUAAUCUGUGAGGUCUGAAGUCCAUUUUUGUCAUUCUUUCUUGUUCAUUUUUCCACACUGCAUUAGCAUAGCAUGUGUUUCAUGUGUUUAACAAUUCCUACAUUAUGCCAUCCAGAUGGUAGAACCUUGGAACGUUUGGUUCUAACCACGGUGCUGUAUACUUAAUAAAUAUGUGCUGACAUUAA